rnacentral:rRNA from 1 species
UACGAAGGGGGCUAGCGUUGUUCGGAAUUACUGGGCGUAAAGGGCGCGUAGGCGGUACUUCAAGUCAGGCGUGAAAGCCCCGGGCUCAACCUGGGAACCGCGCUUGAGACUGGAGAACUAGAGUUCGGGAGAGGAUGGUGGAAUUCCCAGUGUAGAGGUGAAAUUCGUAGAUAUUCGGAAGAACACCAGUGGCGAAGGCGACUCACUGGACAUGUAUUGACGCUGAGGUGCGAAAGCGUGGGGAGCAAACAGG